rnacentral:rRNA from 1 species
UACGGGGGGAGCAAGCGUUGUUCGGAUUUACUGGGCGUAAAGGGCGCGUAGGCGGCGUGGUAAGUCACUUGUGAAAUCUCUGAGCUUAACUCAGAACUGCCAAGUGAUACUGCUGUGCUCGAGUGUGGAAGGGGCAAUCGGAAUUCUUGGUGUAGCGGUGAAAUGCGUAGAUAUCAAGAGGAACACCUGAGGUGAAGACGGGUUGCUGGGCCAACACUGACGCUGAGGCGCGAAAGCGUGGGGAGCAAACAGG